ensembl:misc_RNA 7SK 7SK RNA
GUAUGUGGGGGCAAACUAUAUGCAACAUCUGUCACCCCAUUGAUAACCAGGGUUGAUUCGGCAGAUCUGGUUGGCUAAGGGCAUGUCUCCUUUCUCCCUCACUGUUCCAUAUGCAUCCCUCUCAAAACUUCAAGCUCAGUUUAAGAGGACAACCCCACCACCACAAAGAAUCAUUUCCUUGUUCAUGGGUAUAUGAGUAGCUGCACUCAUCUGCUCGAAUCUCCAAACAAGCUCUGAAAAAGCCAGUGUUUUAAAUUUAAGAAAGUAAAAUUCAAUUAAAAAUUAGCUUAAUCCAGUCUCAAAUGUAAUUUUU